CCCUAAAACGCUCUAACUUUCGUUUCUCCUCCAGAUACUCUCUCCUUUCGCUUCCUUUUGAUUUUCUUAACACCGAUGCUUACGAUACAAAGAUAGAGAAGGAGGAAAAAAUAAACCUUGUGAUUUAGAGAUGAGAAGAAAACAGACGUUGAGAGAACUACCACCGGUUUGGAGAGGGCAAAAACAGAGAAAUAAGAGAGAACAAGAGUUCGAUAUUCGGAAAGAGCAGAAACCUUUAUCGUAUAUAAAUGUUGGGGUUGAACGGAAUCUACAAAGGUCUAUAUUUAUUCCUCACAAAAGGGACAUGAUAGGCGGAAAAUAAAAAGGGGAAACGACAUUUGACCAAUUGGAAGGGAGUAGGAACAAAAAGAACAACUGAGAUAUGAAAUAAGCUGAUGCUGAAUUAGCAUCUUCAAAUGCACUUGGUUGGAUUGUUUUAGAUUUAGAUAUUUGAGUUAGAUUUGGUUUUAAUGGGUUUAAAAUAAAUUUUGUUUUGAGUAUUUGUAUUAGAUUUGGGUUAAAUUAGUUUUUGGUAUCUGCCUAUGGUGUUUGUAAUUAGAUUUGUAAAUGGAGAUAUGUGUUGGGUGUUUA